UUUUCCCUCCCGCCGCUUCUCCAAACAGGCUGGUGUACAGGGAGCAACACCGGAGCUGGUGCACGCUGGGGUUUGUGCAGAGCAUCGCUCUCACGCUGCAGGUGUGCGGCACCCUCAGCUCCCUGCAGUGGAUCACGCUGCUCAUGAAGGUCGUGGAAGGGCACGCACCCUUCACUGCCACCUCGCUGCAGAGGCAGAUCUUAGCUGUGCAUUUGUUGCAAGCAGUCCUUCCGUCAUGGGACAAGACCGAAAGGGCGAGGGACAUGAAAUGCCUCAUGGAGAAGCUGUUUGACUUCUUGGGGAGCUUGCUCACUAUGUGCUCCUCUGACGUGCCGUUACUCAGAGGUGGGUGGCCGUCUCCCUUCCCUGUACCCUGGUGAAGAGCGGUGCAGUGCCGUCACUCAGAGGUGGGUGGCCGUCUCCCUUCCCUGUGUCCUGGUGAAGAGCCGUGUAGUGCCAUCACUCAGAGGUGGGUGGCCGUCUCCCUUCCCUGUACCCUGGUGAAGAGCGGUGCAGUGCCGUCACUCAGAGGUGGGUGGCCGUCUCCCUUCCCUGUGUCCUGGUGAAGAGCCGUGUAGUGCCA
rnacentral:lncRNA from 1 species